rfam:TPA: Aspergillus nidulans FGSC A4 chromosome V
UUGAAUGAUGCUCUUUCGUAUUAUAUACGCUGGAAAUUACCGACUGAGGCCCUCGGCUUCUGAAGUCAACAAAUGGCUAUUUCUGACU